ACAAAUUUCUGUGCAUCAAAUGUUUCAAUUCUACCGUAGCUGAAGGCAACAAAAGAAAGCAUACCAAGCAAUUAUGGAAACAAUAGGAAUUCAGAGAAGACUGAAGGGGAAGUAUGGCUUCAACUGGGAAUUUUAAAUGCCAAGUUUAGAUGUCUGUGAACUCACUGGAGAAGGGCCCAUCGGAUGAGAGGUGUGAUGCAGAUUGAUCAAAACGCUGGGCACUGAAGACACCGAUCUGGGAAACCGUCCACGGCCAAGUGGGAAGCGAAGACGUGAGAGAUGAUGAGCUCGGUCUGGAAAGUUGUCUAGAGGGAA